UUGAUUGUAAAUCAAGUAACACACUUCUAUAUUCUUAAAAAAGAUCUUGGCAAAAUAUUCUUUAUCUAAUAUUUAUCAUCAUCUUUUAUUGCUUAUUUAUAUUUGUGCUUUCUUGCAGGAACACUUGUCAAAAGAUGAUGCUAAACAACAGUUCUUUAGAAAUUGAGAACUCCUCCUUAUGGGAAUUCUGUUUUCUUCAGUGUACAGAAGAUAGAUGAUCCUAUAGAAGUCAUAUCUUUAUGAGGGGAAGAAGAAAGGCCCUUAAAACAGAGAAUACCAAUGAAGAGGAUAAGGGUCCUACCAGCAGGAACCUUUCGAUGAUGAUAUUGAAGGUGAAUAUUGGCGGAUAGUGGAAAGACCAACAGAAGAGAUUGAGAGUCAAUUGUUCUUGCAUAUGUUAUGUCACAGUUGAAUCGUCGACACAACUAUGGAUUAGAUCUCCUCUUUUUAUUUGUUGAUGAAUGCAUUCAGGUUAUAGAGAUGAUUCACUGGAAAAUGUUAAAAGAAAUGAAAUUAAGGAGAAUCUAGACAUGAUAAUCCAAAAACUAGAGGCAAUCCAAAACAGAGUCCAAAAGAGGACAAAAAUACAAUCUUAAAUUUAUGAAAUCUACUCCAUGAAGAUGACCAACUUAGUCGCUCUCACCAAUAUCGGCUGGCAAUGAGAAAAAACAGAACACAGAUUUUUGGAAUAUAUUACAUCCACGGCAAUUGCAGCGACUCAAACUUCGCCAUUGCAUCCUGCUCCUGCUCCGACGGUGGCCAGAAGCCGAAGCACUCGUCGUCCAACAGCGGUUGUUGAUCUCCUGGUGCCUUAUCAAAGGGGUGGAAAGAUUGGACUUUUUGAUGGAGCUGGUGUGGGGAAGACUGGAUUUAUUAUGGAACUGAUGAUCAAUAAUAUUGGAAAAGGUUGGUAUAAAGAAUUAGCAAGUGAGAAAAAAGAGUUCAAUGAAAUCCUACAAGUUGAAGAUUGUGAUGAGACUUGUUCAUUAGUUGGCUAUUGUUCAUUAGUUGUAAAUGGAACUUAUUUGUUUAUUUGUAUUAAGAUAAAUUUUAUUUAAA